AUUAAUGUUAAGUUUGGUGAUUAAAACUUAAUAAGAGUGAAAAAAUGUGUCAAAAGUCAAUUUGGACUUUUCUUCUUAUAAACCUUUAUUAACCUUUAUAAAAAAAAAAAAAAAAAAAAAAAAAAAAAAUUAAUGGUCACAUAUAUGGAAAAUGGUGGCUGGCCAUGUGCUAUUUUAGAGUGGUGUGAACCCAAUUUUAUAAAAUUCAAAUCCCAUUUAAUUAAGAAGUCAAGUGGGCAAGUGGGUAGAAAAGCACUCAAGUGUUUUGUGAUAUUUUGAAGAGUUGUGUGAGCCAUUCUAACCCCCAAAUCCGACCACUCUCCCUCUCUCAUUCACUCUCAUCUGAUUUUUGGAGACUCUCUCAAGUGUUCUCUCCAUUUUCAACCCCAAGAACACCAAAGAAACUUGGAAGCUAAGUCUUGGUCUAGGAAGGGUUUUCCCUAAGUUGGUUAGGGUUUUUGAAAGGUUUUGGAGGAGCCAAAGCUAAUAGGAAGGUCCAAACCUUAAGCAAGAACACCAAAGAGUAUUGGCUAAGCGUAACUGGACUGAACGUUGGAGGGUGAAAACCUGCUGAGCGCUAAGGACUCCAAAUGUCAGCAGAUGUAGCUUCAUACCAUAGUGGAGAUGGCGGUGGUCAAGAACUGUCGAAUCCUACGAUGAUCCCAACAAGUUGCGAGUCAGCAGCCCCACCAAAGAGAAAAAGUCGUGGGGCUGCCUCUGGGAAAAAAUUAGAGGACAUAAGGCGAGAAGUUGGAUAUCCACUCCCCAUAGCGGUUGACCCCAUCACGUACAAGGUGGUGGGAACUGAACAUGUUUUUGUCCGCCUUUUGGGCACCCAAGUCACGUCUUUAUGUCUAGGAAAUUACAAGGAUUGGGCACAUGUCCCAAAACGGUUUAAGGACAGUGUCAUUAAAAAAGUGAAGAUGGGAUGAUUAUGACACCUUUAUGGAUGGUAUCAAUGUUGAGAUGGCAGAGAGAUACCGAGAUAGGAAAACUAAGCGGCACGCCCACUUCAAAAAGUUAUACAAAGGACCAGAUGAUUGGGACCAGGUCCUACAGAAUCCACCCAAAGAUGUCAAAAACGAUCAAUGGAAAGAAAUUUUUGAGUUUUCACGACUUCAGAGUUUAUUACACGCUCAGAGAAGACCAAAAUAAAUUGAGACCAAAUGAAUUACUCUACAACACAAAGCAUGAAAUCAUUAGCAGCCACUCGUAAAAAAGAACAAGAAGUUUGUCAACGAUGAUGUUGAACAAGAUUAUGAAAAGUUGAAGUUAACUCUUGAAGCUGAAACUCAGCUGACAGUUGAAUCUGGCACCGAUGAUUCCUCCUUAGUCGAUCAAAUGAAGAUACUACAUCAAGUUCUUGGUGAAAGGCGGGCCCACGAGCAAGGAGUUGGCCACAAAUUAAACGAAAAAAAAGAACCAUUUCGAAUUGGGGCUUAGGGUUUCAACGACGGCAUGGGGCUGGUGAAGGCGACGGGCGACGGGUUUGAUGGUGGUGAAGGUGACAUCAGCGGUUGGGGUUUGAGGGAGGCGACAGCUUCAAGCUGGGUUCUCGACAGUUGGAGGGUUCUCGGCACCACUGGGCUUUUCUUCUCCGGCGACGACACUUGGGCUUCUUGGCUCUGGCAACGGUACUGUAGCAGAGGUGGCAGUAGGUUUUUUUUUUGUUGCUUUGUUUCUUUAAUCCAUUGAAGCCAAGUCCAGUCCAAUCGAAGGAGAGGAGCUUGCCUUUACCCACUGAAGCUCCGACCUAGUCUUAGAGCUUCUCAAGUUCAUUCACGUACGAAUCAGUUACAGCUCCUAUAUUUGUCUAUGGCGUCCUCUCCUUGAAUAUGUGAUUAAGUGACUCACCUGAGGUAUUUUUUUUAUUUUUUAUUUAGAUUUUGAAAACUGAUUUGCAAUGUUAUUUAAGUUAUUCUGAUUCAAAUUUUGAAAUCUUAUUGAUAAAGUGAUAUGUGGGACAUAUGAAUUGUUUGAAA